CCCUUAGAUGUUCUGGGCUGCACACGUGCUACACUGGCAGGUUCAGCGAGCUUCAUGCCCUGAUCUGAAAGGAAUGGGAAAUCUUUUCAAAACCUGCCGUGCUUGGGAUAAAUGUUUGCAAUUAUUCAUCUUCAACGAGGAUUGCCUUGUAAGCGCACGUCAUCAGCGUGCAUUGAAUACGACCCUGUAUUCUGUACACACCGCCCGUCGCUCCUACCGAUUGAAGUUUUCGGUGAGUUGACAGGAGGAUUUUUUUGAAACUGGUUCGCCAGUGGAUUUUAGAUCCAAAUGCCAACGAAUCGAUGGCUUUAGAGGAAGGAGAAGUCGUAACA
rnacentral:rRNA from 1 species